rnacentral:rRNA from 1 species
UACGUAGGGCGCGAGCGUUGUCCGGAAUUAUUGGGCGUAAAGAGCUCGUAGGCGGCCUGUUGCGUCCGCUGUGAAAUCCCGGGGCUUAACCCCGGGUCUGCAGUGGAUACGGGCAGACUGGAGUACUGCAGGGGAGACUGGAAUUCCUGGUGUAGCGGUGAAAUGCGCAGAUAUCAGGAGGAACACCGGUGGCGAAGGCGGGUCUCUGGGCCGAUACUGACGCUGAGGAGCGAAAGCGUGGGGAGCAAACAGG